rnacentral:lncRNA from 1 species
CUGAAUUUCAUGGUUCUAAAUGACAGAUGUCCAAUAUUUCCAUUUCAGAAUCAGCUAGCAGAAACCACUCCCCUCUUUGAAGGAUCCCUGUAGAUACUGCCGGGGAUGUAGUACAGCCUUGGGUUCAGCAGUCUUGGAGAGCAGGUCUCUAUCCAGUUCAGUUUAUCUUCGCUCCUUGCCCCUAUUGGAUCUUCCAGAGGCUGUGCCCACCUCCAGCUUUCCCAGCACCUCCUGUCAGUCCCAUGAUGCUCUGUGAUGGAAAGAGGUAUAGCAACUUCUUGAAGAUAACAGGUAUUCUGAGUGGCUGUUGGGACUGUAAACUCCCUGAAGAGAGAGACCGACUUUUUCAUUUGUGCUUCUGUCAUCAAUGCCUGAGACAGUACCUGGUACAUGAGAGGCGAUCAAUCCACAUUUACCAAAGGAACAACUGAAGGACAUGGCCAAGUGUCAAAUGCAGAUCUGCUCAACUCCCAAAUCUAAUUCUUUCUACAACUGAACUCAUAUAACUUAUUUAAAACCAAUUGGUAUUUGGCCAGUUGUUUUUAACCUCUUAUUUAGUGCAUAAUGAGAAAUACUAUGAGCUCUGUCUCCAAUGCCCAUUUGAAGCCCUAGCUACAUAAUUAGUUACUGAGUUCCCCACUCUUGGCUGAAUCUAUAAUUAAGCAGGUUUGGUAAGACAUAGUUAGACAUAGUCCCCGGUUCCCUACAAUGCGUAACAUUCACCCAGAGGACUAGACUUGGAGAAAAACACAGGACUGGAAAAUAUUUUAUCAUACUCCAUGAUCGUUGCUCUCCCUGGUCAUCAUAAGCAGUUACAGAACAGGAAGGAGCUUUCCUUUGUUUUUAAUCAGUGAACACAAAUU